rnacentral:rRNA from 1 species
GACGAACGCUGGCGGCGUGCCUAACACAUGCAAGUCGAGCGAGUUGAUUCUCUUCGGAGAUGAAGCUAGCGGCGGACGGGUGAGUAACACGUGGGCAACCUGCCUCAUAGAGGGGAAUAGCCUCCCGAAAGGGAGAUUAAUACCGCAUAAGAUUGUAGCUUCGCAUGAAGUAGCAAUUAAAGGAGCAAUCCGCUAUGAGAUGGGCCCGCGGCGCAGUAGCUAGUUGGUGAGGUAACGGCUCACCAAGGCGACGAUGCGUAGCCGACCUGAGAGGGUGAUCGGCCACAUUGGGACGGAGACACGGCCCAGACUCCUACGGGAGGCAGCAGUGGGGAAUAUUGCACAAUGGGGGAAACCCUGAUGCAGCAACGCCGCGUGAGUGAUGACGGCCUUCGGGUUGUAAAGCUCUGUCUUCAGGGACGAUAAUGACGGUACCUGAGGAGGAAGCCACGGCUAACUACGUGCCAGCCGCCGCGGUAAAAC